rnacentral:snRNA from 1 species
GUGCUCUAUUUGGUGGGAUACAUACUAAAACUAGAAUGAUAUAGGGAAGAUUAGCAUGGUCCCUGUACAAAAAUGACUCACAAAUUUAUGAACUGAUCCAUAUUUUA